rnacentral:rRNA from 1 species
CAUGCAGGCGGCCUGAUAAGUCAGAUGUGAAAUCCCCGAGCUCAACUUGGGAACUGCGUUUGAAACUAUCAAGCUAGAAUAUGUCAGAGGGGGGUAGAAUUCCACGUGUAGCAGUGAAAUGCGUAGAGAUGUGGAGGAAUACCAAUGGCGAAGGCAGCCCCCUGGGAUAAUAUUGACGCUCAUGCACGAAAGUGCGGGGAUCAAACAGGAUUAGAUACCCUGGUA